UGUCCUAGUGUGCCUAGGAUAGUGGUAGUGCAGAAAUGCCAAAAGCUAUGAGAUAAAGUAACAAUGCUUAUAUCUUUUGAAUACUUUAAAGGCUUAAGAGAUAUGAUCUGAAAAGUGAGGGGAAAAAAAUAAUGGAGUACUUUGAAGAGAAGCUAAAAUGUGGAAUGUUUCACCUUAAAGAUGUAGUUCCAGGACCCCGAUUUCUCUAGAAAUCCACAGCAACACUUGAACCGCUGAACAAAUACAGUCUGGAUUCCUGAGACCAAAGGGCUCGGGAAAAUCGCUGAAAACCCGCUAUACUGGACCAGCUGCUCUCUGCCAGAACAUCAAUCAAAGGGCAGCUUACUGGAACCUUGAAGACCACCUAAGGAGCUACUUCCCCUGUUUUAAGAUAAACUGAAGCCCAGAAGUGUAUUGUGGAAGCUGGAGUCAGAGUUUGACUCCUGAUCCUCUCACUGAAUGUGUGGAGGCCCCCCAAAAUCUCAUGUUCCUGGGAGAAGUUAGCUGACUUUUCAAUUUUUCUUAGUGCUGGAAAGUCAUCCGUGGAGGAUGAAGUCAUCCAAGACAGCUGGUAAAACACACAGUGUCACCAUACCAGGAAUUCAUGACUAUGUCCUUGA